CCUACGGUGUGCUGCAGUGAGGAAUAUUGGUCAAUGGCCGGAAGGCUGAACCAGCCAUGCCGCGUGAAGGUCAGUGCCCUAUGGGCGUUAAACUUCUUUUGUGCGGGAGCAAUAAUGGUCACGUGUGGCCAGACGAGAGUACCGUACGAAUAAGCAUCGGCUAACUCCGUGCCAGCAGCCGCGGUAAUACGGGGGAUGCAAGCGUUAUCCGGAUUUAUUGGGUUUAAAGGGUGCGUAGGCUGUGAGGUAAGUCAGCGGUGAAAUGCCCCCGCUCAACGGGGUGAAGUGCCAUUGAUACUGCCUUGCUGGAAUGCGGAUGCGGUGGGAGGAAUGUGUGGUGUAGCGGUGAAAUGCGUAGAUAUUAGGAGGAACACCAGUGGCGAAGGCGGCUUACUGGACUGUAACUGACGUUGAGGCUCGAAAGCGUGGGGAGCAAACAGGAUUAGAUACCCGAGUAGUC
rnacentral:rRNA from 1 species